rnacentral:rRNA from 1 species
UACGUAGGAGGCAAGCGUUGUCCGGAAUUACUGGGCGUAAAGCGCGUGUAGGUGGUGGGACAAGUCUGCUGUGAAAGCGCCUGGCUUAACCGGGCGAGGUCGGCGGAAACUGUCCGACUAGAGGACGGUAGAGGGGGGUGGAAUUCCCGGUGUAGUGGUGAAAUGCGCAGAUAUCGGGAGGAACACCAAUGGCGAAGGCAGCUCGCUGGGACGGUACUGACGCUGAGGCGCGAAAGCGUGGGGAGCAAACAGG